UUUUUUUUGUAUUUUUUAACAUGCUUGCAUGUGAAACUGUAAAUUUUUCUCAUUCAUAUGAAGGAGAUUGGAUUGAAU
rnacentral:sRNA from 1 species